rnacentral:lncRNA from 1 species
CAAUCUUUCGUGCACUGACAGGAAGCCAAGGCAUCGCAAGUGCAACAUAAAUGGAACCCAAUAAAUAAUCCUCCUCAGCUCAGCUGCGGCCCUUUAAUAGCUGUUCAAAUGCUUUGAUGGAUGUAGAGUGGAAGACAGAUCCAACUCAGAUUUCCUCUGAGAAAUACAGCUCAGAAGACAAGAGCUCAGUGGAGGUUCCAGUGCUCCCGGUUUUGACCUUUGCCUGUUGCUGGACUCUGAACUCGCCUGCCUGACCAGUCUGCCUGCCUUGACCACGAGCCUGUCUGCCACUCUGUACCUCCUGGACUCUGAUCUGGUUUUGACCUUUUGCCUGUCCAUGACCAUUCUCUUGCCUACUCCUUUUGGAUUAAUAAACAUUGUAAGACUCCAA